CUUUCCAAAAAAAACUCUCUCCCCUCUCAGUCGUCCAGUCUCCAGUCCGGUCAUCGGCCACCGCGCCGGACGCCGAUCUCUGGCGCCGGCACCGUCGUAUACGGUGGCCGAAGAAAAAAUAAAAUAUCUUUUUCAACCCUUUCGAAUCCCCUAAGCCCAAAUCUGGGUUCAAACCUUCAAAAAAAUCAACUGAAAAUGCGAAAAGAGUCCCGAAACCUUUCGGUUACCGACCAUUGAUCCUCGAGGGUGGCUCCCUCAUCGUCUAGACGUCGCUUCCGACAGAAAGGUAUGAAGAUCAGGGACGCUUGUGGCUGUGGCACAAAGGUCUUCUUCGAAAACCCUAGGGUUUCUGCAAAUGAUUUGGGCCACAGAGCUUUGGGCCCCUGUUGUAUUUCGGGUUUUGGGCCAUAUAGGCCUGUUUGUAAAAAUGGACUGUUUGUUUAUUGUGGGACGGGUAAAAAUUUGGGUAUUACACUUACUAUGUGAUAUCUAAUCACUAUCUCGUAGGAUAUAAGCUCUAUCAUACAAUAGAAUAUCAAAUGUAGUUUAAGGUAUAUACGAAUGUAACUACUUAAGCUCAUCUGUGUUAUGUCGAGAUAUGUUUAUAUUUGU